UCAUUGAUGGUAACAUCUUCUCUAAUAAGGUUAGAAAAUGCUACUGCAUAGAAUCCUCUUCAUAUCGAGAAAUGGAGACACGAUUAACCAUGAAAACAAAUUCGACAUCUGAAUCAAAACAAGCAAAUGGGAGCUGAUUCGAAGUCAAGGGGGGAUGCUUUCGGGUGGCUCAUUCUAUCUGUACCUCUUGUUUUUGUAAAGAAAGCCCAACAUUCGAAGGGAGGUGCUCCCUCCUCAAAAGAAAUUCCACGUCUCAAUAACUAAAUGUUAAACGAAUUUCUAGGGUUCAUAUCACUCUACAACGUUCCUGUCAAGACCAAAUGGAGAUUCGAGACCACUAGAGAUCAAUGUAGCUAUUCAAAUAUUUGAUUUUCGCUACUCCUAGCAUACAAUACUGGGCCCAAAGACACCAUGCCAUGAGAAUCAACUGACUGCUCAACAUCUGGAUUGGCUUCUCUCAUUAUAGAAUCCAGCAACUCAGUGGCAGCAUAGUGACGCUCUUCUUUGAAAUACCAAGCGUAAAAGAUCUGUGCUCCACCUGUGGAGAGAGCUGGUUACACCACCGGAGUCGAGAAGACUUGCCAGACCUCCCAGGAUGGGACUAAUUCCUAGGGCCGUGCUUCUGGACAAGCUUCUGCAAUGAGUCAUCUUCCUUGGGGCUCCACGGUCCUUUGAUCUGAUCCAUAUCUUUCCUUGAAGAAGCCAUGGAUGAUUGGUAGAACUUGAUUCUCCAUUCAUGGUUCCAAACCCUAACUCUAUACUACAAGAAUAAGGUCAAAGCUUCCCAUAAGGGUAGUUUGGUCAUUUAGAUAAUAUGAGACUGCUGACAUCAUCACUUAGCGAUUUAAUUCUAUUUGAAUGAAUUUAUUAGAAAUUUUUUGAUGAAA